rnacentral:rRNA from 1 species
UGGGGAAUAUUGCACAAUGGGGGAAACCCUGAUGCAGCGACGCCGCGUGAACGAAGAAGGUAUUCGUAUCGUAAAGUUCUUUCCUAUGGGAAGAUAAUGACAGUACCAUAGAAGAAAGCUCCGGCUAAAUACGUGCCAGCAGCCGCGGUAAUACGUAUGGGGCGAGCGCUGUCCGGAAUUAUUGGGCGUAAAGGGUACGCAGGCGGUUUAAUAAGUCGAAUGUUAAAGAUCGGGGCUCAACCCCGUAAAGCAUUGGAAACUGUUAAACUUGAGUAGUGGAGAGGAAAGUGGAAUUCCUAGUGUAGUGGUGAAAUACGUAGAUAUUAGGAGGAAUACCAGUAGCGAGGGCGACUUUCUGGACACAAACUGACGCUGAGGUACGAGAGCGUGGGGAGAAAACAG